rnacentral:rRNA from 1 species
UGGGAAUUUUGGACAAUGGGCGAAAGCCUGAUCCAGCAAUGCCGCGUGUGUGAAGAAGGCCUUCGGGUUGUAAAGCACUUUUGUCCGGAAAGAAAUCCUCUGGGUUAAUACCUCGGGGGGAUGACGGUACCGGAAGAAUAAGCACCGGCUAACUACGUGCCAGCAGCCGCGGUAAUACGUAGGGUGCAAGCGUUAAUCGGAAUUACUGGGCGUAAAGCGUGCGCAGGCGGUUUUGUAAGACGGAUGUGAAAUCCCCGGGCUUAACCUGGGAACUGCAUUCGUGACUGCAAGGCUAGAGUAUGGCAGAGGGGGGUAGAAUUCCACGUGUAGCAGUGAAAUGCGUAGAGAUGUGGAGGAAUACCGAUGGCGAAGGCAGCCCCCUGGGCCAAUACUGACGCUCAUGCACGAAAGCGUGGGGAGCAAACAGGAUUAGAUACCCUGGUAGUCCACGCCCUAAACGAUGUCAACUAGUUGUCGGGUCUUCAUUGACUUGGUAACGUAGCUAACGCGUGAAGUUGACCGCCUGGGGAGUACGGUCGCAAGAUUAAAAACUUAAAGGAAUUG